rnacentral:rRNA from 1 species
GUAGGGAAUAUUGGACAAUGGGGGGAACCCUGAUCCAGCCAUGCCGCGUGGAGGAAGACUGCCCUCUGGGUUGUAAACUCCUUUUAUAUGGGAAGAACCGUCCUCAUUAAUGAGUGACCUGACGGUACCAUAGGAAUAAGCACCGGCUAACUCCGUGCCAGCAGCCGCGGUAAUACGGAGGGUGCAAGCGUUAUCCGGAUUCACUGGGUUUAAAGGGUGCGUAGGCGGAUAAAUAAGUCAGUGGUGAAAUCAACGGGCUCAACCUGUUAACUGCCAUUGAUACUGUGUAUCUUGAAUAUGAGAGGGGUAGGCGGAAUGUUGCAUGUAGCGGUGAAAUGCUUAGAUAUGCUACGGAACACCGAUUGCGAAGGCAGCUUACUAUUUCGUAAUUGACGCUGAGGCACGAAAGCGUGGGUAGCGAACAGGAUUAGAUACCCGGGUAGUCC